UUGUGACACAAGUGAAGGCUGCAAGAAGAAUAAAGAAAUAUGGGGAAAGAUUGACGGCGAAUCCUGUGUCACUGAGAAAUGUAUAGCUCGGUUGGUCAGAGGGAAAAGAUUCAUUAGCAAAGUUGAAUCACUAGCUCGUUCAAAACAUUGCAAAGAAAAGAAUGCCGAUGUUUGCCAUCGGCGAGGUACUAACUGGUACGAAUAUGAUUCCAAGGAAGAUAAAUGUCACGGAAUAAAGUGUGGUGUCCGUGGGCGAAGACAAUUGAAAAGAAUGAAAGCUUGUGCGUUUGGUGGUCAGUGUAUACCAUUUGGGCAAUCACCAAAAGAUAAGCCAGGUUGUUUGUGUGCAAGAGGUCGUAUGGUGUGUAGCAGAGGUCCGAUAUAACCGGAAG